GCUGGGUUCGGUGAGCGUACAGGAGAAACCUGGCGGGACAGCCCCAGGACUACAGCCCACCCGGGGACGCAGGCGAUGCAGUUGAUCCCUUUACAGCAAGUACAGGAUUGCACAGCUGGGGCCAAGGAAUGCCCAGUACUGCCAGGACCACUGGAUGGCAGAAGACUUCACCUAGCCUCUGGCGGUGCGUUGAAACAGAAUUUGAUCCAGAAAUUGCCUCCUUUUAGGCAAUGGACACUUUACUGAAAAAUUGCGUUUCUGGAAAUGUGCUAGGUUCAACGGGCCAGGGUGGCAUCACUUAAAGAGUGUCUGAUGGGCACCACCUACAGGCUAUUGGAGAAGAGCAUGCACCUGAAGCCCAGCUUCACCACUACUGAGAUGCAACCUCAGGUAAAAAAAAGAAAGAAAAAAGAAAAAGUGGCAUUCGGUGGAAAGGAGCAGGCUCAGAGACUCAGAAGCCCUCAUCAGGGCUCCCCACUCUCAGGGAGGCUCCCUUCGCCUUUCUGAGCCGGGCUGUCUCGGCCUGAAAAGGAAGGAGCUGGGCUGAGAUGUGGACUUGCCACCUUCCAAAAGCUACCUGUGCAAUUAACCCCUGACUGUGAGGGCAGCGUUUUAAGCGCCGCUGGGAAGGAGAGCUUCGCCUGGAGCUCCCUGCCUGAGACACCUGGGUGCAGCCAAACAGGUAGAGACCUGCACAUCAUGAGCAAAUAAUAUGGGUAAUCGCUAGGCAAUAAAUAUGACUAAAUGUCUCUGUUGUGUGUGAGCCUUGGGUUAAAUGUUUUCAUAGAAUGGGUGAAGGGUUAGUUGGUAGGGUUGCCAGAUAAAUACUAGAUGCCCAGUUAAAUUUGAAUUUCAG
rnacentral:lncRNA from 1 species